ACGAACGCUGGCGGCGUGCUUAACACAUGCAAGUCGAACGGAAAGGCCCUGCUUUUGUGGGGUGCUCGAGUGGCGAACGGGUGAGUAACACGUGAGUAACCUGCCCUUGACUUUGGGAUAACUUCAGGAAACUGGGGCUAAUACCGGAUAGGAGCUCCUGCUGCAUGGUGGGGGUUGGAAAGUUUCGGCGGUUGGGGAUGGACUCGCGGCUUAUCAGCUUGUUGGUGGGGUAGUGGCUUACCAAGGCUUUGACGGGUAGCCGGCCUGAGAGGGUGACCGGCCACAUGGGGACUGAGAUACGGCCCAGACUCCUACGGGAGGCAGCAGUGGGGAAUAUUGCACAAUGGGCGGAAGCCUGAUGCAGCAACGCCGCGUGCGGGAUGACGGCCUUCGGGUUGUAAACCGCUUUCGCCUGUGACGAAGCGUGAGUGACGGUAAUGGGUAAAGAAGCACCGGCUAACUACGU
rnacentral:rRNA from 1 species